GAGCGGCCUCAGCUGCGGCCCCGUCCCGACGCCAUUUUGUCUCCAGCCUCGGAAGUGACGUUGGGGGGAGGCCAGCGGGCAGGCCCCCCUCCAGCGGGACCCCCUCCGCAGCGGGGCCGGCCCCGGCCCCGACCCCGUUCCCCCCUCCCCAAGCUCCGAUCCCGGCCGCCCUCAGCCCCCCGGGACACCGCCUCAGCUCAUCCCCACCCGCCCGAGCCUGGACCCGCAGCGCGGCCUCCAGCCACCACCCUCAGCCCCAGACAAUGAGCUGUGAGGAGCAGGUGAAGAAGGAACUCUUGAAAAUCUGAAGCUCUAAGUGGAAACAAGAUAUAACCCUUGGCAAGUCACUUAAUCCGUGUAUCAUUCUCUCCUGACCUGGAGGUAGCACUUACCAUCCUUUCGUGGACGAGACAUCAGAGCUUUUGAGUUUGAGAACUUUGUGUUAGUAUGCAGGUUGUACUUUUUAAUGCAAGUCUGAAAUAGCAUGCAGCUAAGAUGCUUGCAAUAUCAUAAUGUAACCUCUUAAAGUACUGAAUAAUGAAUUUAAAAUAAUUGCUCCAUGUUUUAAUUAGUGUUCUAACUGUUGAUGAAUACUUUUUAAAUUAAUGGGAGGAGUCUGAGAUUUCCGUAACAUUCUUCUGGUGAAUACUUAGUUAUUGCUAGUUACUGAAUUAAUUCUUCAGAUGUUUUCUGUUCUUACAGUAAAAACAAGCCUUAUGAUGAAUCAUUGUCCUGACACCUAGAAUUACAAAUAUUCAUGCAUCACAUCAUUACUUUCACAGUAUACUACCCCUGUACAUCUUUCUCACAGACACAAAUAUAAGGGGACAACUAUGUUUAUGAUACUUUUGGUGACAUCUGGCAUUUUCAGAGGAAGCCUGGUGCCUGCUUGUCUGUUAGGGAGAGCCACAUUCAUGACUCAAAGCCAAGCUGUGAAAGGGAACAUUACUGUUACUAACAAUAAAGGAAUGAACAUGAUCAGGAAUCAGGAUUUUAAGUUAACAACAAGUGUUGAUAUAUUGAAUGUCAUUCCUGGUGAAUAAAAAUCUAACCUGGCCAGCUGGUCAAAGUAUAGAGCUGAUGUUUCCUGAUGUGCUCACAUUCAUAGGAAGUCUCCUGACCUUGCGCCCUGAUUCUGCAAGCACGUAUACUGAUCAUUCAUUUCAGCUUAUGGAGGUAUUUGCCCUAGGACAAUGUGCUGUUUGACUUCUCCCAAAGCAGAAAAGAUCCCAUCUUCCACAUAUAUUCCACCAAAGCAAACAAACAAAAAAAUAACCACCAAACAGGUAGCUCAUGUUAAACCUACUGUUGAAUUUCUAAACUAGUAAUGGAAAGCUAAAUAAUCCAGGUCAGGGAAAGCUCAGUCCCAGUACACUGCUGUACUUUACAUAGGAACGUAGACCUCUGCGAUGAUUUUCUUUUUUUUUUUUUUUUUUUUUUAGUUUAUAUUUCUAGAAUACUUGUAUCAUGAAGUUACAAAAGGGAAUUAAAUUACGAAUUCUUCAAUAGCAUAUAAAUACGUAACAAACCUUUUCACAAAGUCAUUGUUUCUUGAAGCCUCAUUGAGGCAGGAUAGAAUGUUCUACACUGGAGAUUUCUCAGCAGCAAGGCAGUGUGAAU